AUCAGCCCACCUCAGGCCCACUUGCACAAACCCAGAGGAGCACAGGGGCACAAUGGCAGGAGGACAGAAACAAGGGGUCAACAAAAUUCUAGGUGACUUCAAGGACCAGAUCUCCAUGGCUCUCACCUGGAGUGCAUGCGGAAGGAGUGGCAAGCACAGAAAGAAAGUGAAGCCAGAUGAAUGAGAGGGAGUCAGAGGAGUUCCACCUGGAAGACUGGUGCUGUAGAAACUGAGGAAUAUAAUCCAGAAAAAGGAUAAUAAAAAUAGACUUCAACAGGCUGAACAGGACCACCAGCAGAGCUGCAUUAAUCCCAUGGAUCAUUUGGACUGGUAACCAGGACUUUCUCAUUGCCUAUUUGCUUCUGGAAUGUGAACUUCCAGUGUUCAUCUUCAAUGUAUAUUCUGGAUGUUGCAGAGCCAAUAGCAGGAGUUGACUGGAAAAAGAGACCUAUCAUUUGUCAGGAGAGUAGAUCCAAGGAAAGCUGCAGAAGAGGAUGCACUGCAUGUUACUUCAGAGGCAGGAAAUCCCUCUGUUCCCGAUGGUCAAAGGGCAGGGCAGCAGAAGGAGGCAAAAUGGAGCAGCAUCCACCCCUGACUUGGAGCGCCCAUGAUUAGGACCUCUGUAAGACUUGCUUCCCCUCCACAGCCUUUCUUAUGGGACCCCUUCUGCAGGUCUAUUUAACUCAGGCUGUAACAAAAGGAUGCUGGCAAAGGUGCUUUACUCCUGAAAAUAACCAGGGAGUGGGAAUAUAACUCACCAUCUUCAGAGGGGCAGUUUUUAUGUACUGUAGCAAUUUAAUUACUGUGACAGUUAGUCAAUGCAAUAGAGCCCUUGUGUAAAUGAGCAGGAGAUCUUUUCCCUUUAUAAAUUAACGCUGAGGUAUUUCUCUUCAUUUAGGGAUGAAUGAACUUGAGCAACCUUAAGCUCUUUGUGCACUGAGUUUUUUGGGAGGUGAGUUCCAAUCCAGCUCUGGGUACUGUCUUGGUUUAGUAGACACAUUAAACCAACAAGUCUAAAUAAAUAAAUAAUUGACUUUGGCUUUGAAUUGGUUGGAAAAGAUUCCCCUACACACAUCAGGGUAUGUCUCACAUUUAUACUGUUUGUGAUAUACGCUACUCAAUAACAUUUGGUACAUUUUGUAGACAGUGGCUUACUGUAGCAAUUCCCCUCCUGAACGCUUAUGCUUUAAACAGCUCCAGAUUUCUGAAAGGUCUCCCAGAACUCAUCUCUAUUUCCUUUCACUUUCCUUUACACACCAAUGGAAGGACAUAUUUAAUACACCGAUCUUUGCAUCACAGAGCAUUUGCUUAGGUCGGUGGUUUCUUGUGGUAUCACAUCCUGGAGCUGCUCCUCUGUGCAGUUGCUCUGUCAACUUUCAAAUUAUUUGAAAAUGCACUUCAGAUGUGAUAACUAAUUUGCAUAAAGAAAAGACAUGAUCUAAUGUACCAACCUGAAAGGAUCUUGUGAAGAAUAAUUUCAGAUAUUUGCAUAUAUUGAAGUGUUAAGAAAGAUGUUCUUCAGUCAUUUAAUGUGCAUACACAUUUUCAAAACUGGUUUCUAAAAAUGUGACUACUCAACACAUUAUACCCUCUCAACUUGUAGUCUGAGCAAUUCAGGUAUGAUUCUAUUUCAGGUGGCAAUGAAAGGAAGAAAAAAAUUAAUAGAGGUAACACUCUCCUCAUAGUGAUGCAUUUUUGACUGUGUCAAGACUUUGUAUUUAGAAUUUGCCAAAAGAAUUUUUAUUAUGGUAAAGAUUGUUUUUGUUUCUCAUUAAUGAUUUGAAAAACUGACUUUUUUUGCUGCUGCUUGUUAUCUAAGAUAAUGAAUAGACUUCAGUUUCCUUAACACAGACCAUUUUUACUAAUUUAGACCUUCAAGGGGUGUUCCCACUGGCCUCUAUCAAAAGGAUGCAAGUUCCUUUGGGUCCCAGGUUAUAUCUGCCAACAUUCAUGGAUGCCUCAGAUACCUGAGAGGAUCCAGAAUGGCACUGGAGGUUUGUGCUGAGCCAGCUGAAACCCAUUUUAGCUGACUUUAAAAUUCUAAUUUGAAGUUACUUUUA